GGGGGCUUUUAGUUUCACUCCCAUACCUCUGUUACCUACCCAGUUAUGCCUCGGCGUAAGCUCGGUUGGAGGCACCUGCAGCUACCCUGUAGUUGCGGACUGCCAACUCCAGCCGCGGCCCGCCGGCGGUACACUAAACUCUGUUUUAUUUUAUAUUCUGAGCGUCUUAUUUUAAUAAGUUAAAACUUUCAACAACGGAUCUCUUGGUUCUGGCAUCGAUGAAGAACGCAGCGAAAUGCGAUAAGUAAUGUGAAUUGCAGAAUUCAGUGAAUCAUCGAAUCUUUGAACGCACAUUGCGCCCAUCAGUAUUCUGGUGGGCAUGCCUGUUCGAGCGUCAUUUCAACCCUUAAGCCUAGCUUAGUGUUGGGAAUCUGCUGUACUGCAGUUCCUUAAAGACAGUGGCGGAGCGGCGGUAGUCCUCUGAGCGUAGUAAUUUAUUUCUCGCUUUUGUCAGGCUCUGUCCUCCCGCCAUAAAACCCCCAAUUUUUUAGUGGUUGACCUCGGAUCAGGUAGGAAUACCCGCUGAACUUAAGCAUAUCAAUAAGCGGAGGAA
rnacentral:rRNA from 1 species